rnacentral:rRNA from 1 species
CGAACGGGUGAGUAAUACAUCGGAACGUGCCCAGUAGUGGGGGAUAACCCGGCGAAAGCCGGACUAAUACCGCAUACGACCUACGGGUGAAAGCAGGGGAUCGCAAGACCUUGCGCUAUCGGAGCGGCCGAUGUCAGAUUAGCUAGUUGGCGGGGUAAGAGCCCACCAAGGCGACGAUCUGUAGCUGGUCUGAGAGGACGACCAGCCACACUGGGACUGAGACACGGCCCAG